rnacentral:rRNA from 1 species
ACUACGGAGAGUUUGAUCCUGGCUCAGGACGAACGCUGGCGGCGUGCCUAACACAUGCAAGUCAAGGCGGUAGCAAUACCGACUGGCGCACGGGUGCGGAACGCGUAGGCAAUCUGCCCACGAGGGGAGAACAACCAGCCGAAAGGUUGGCUAAAUCUCCGUAACAUAAGAAGCCGGCAUCGGUUUUUUAUCAAGCUUUCUUGUGGAUGAGCCUGCGUCUGAUUAGCUAGUUGGUAGUGUAACGGACUACCAAGGCUUCGAUCAGUAGCUGGUCUGAGAGGAUGAUCAGCCACAUUGGGACUGAGACACGGCCCAGACUCCUACGGGAGGCAGCAGUGAGGAAUAUUGCUCAAUGGACGAAAGUCUGAAGCAGCAACGCCGCGUGAGGGAUGAAGGUGCUUUGCAUUGUAAACCUCUG